rnacentral:rRNA from 1 species
ACCUGCCCUAUGAUAUAUUAAAUGGCCGCGAUAUUUUGAUCGUGCAAAGGUAGCAUAAUCAUUAGUUUCUUAAUUAGGAACUGGUAUGAAAGGUUGAACGAGAAAAAAACUGUCUCAGUUUAAUUUAAUUAGAAUUUUAUUUUUAAGUUAAAAAGCUUAAAUAAUUUUAAAAGACGAGAAGACCCUAUAGAGUUUUAUAUUUAAUGAUUUGUGAAAAAUAUAGUAUAUAAAAUUUCACUUAUUUAUUUAAGUAUUUGGUUGGGGUGAUUAAAAAAUUAAAUAAACUUUUUUUAAAGUGUAUAACAUUUAUAUAUGAAACAUUGAUCCAUAAUUUAUGAUUAAAAGAUU